rnacentral:rRNA from 1 species
UACACUCCUGCGGGAGGCAGCAGUGGGGAAUAUUGGACAAUGGGCGCAAGCCUGAUCCAGCCAUGCCGCGUGAGUGAUGAAGGCCCUAGGGUUGUAAAGCUCUUUCACCGGUGAAGAUAAUGACGGUAACCGGAGAAGAAGCCCCGGCUAACUUCGUGCCAGCAGCCGCGGUAAUACGAAGGGGGCUAGCGUUGUUCGGAUUUACUGGGCGUAAAGCGCACGUAGGCGGACUAUUAAGUCAGGGGUGAAAUCCCGGGGCUCAACCCCGGAACUGCCUUUGAUACUGGUAGUCUUGAGUUCGAGGGAGGUGAGUGGAAUUCCGAGUGUAGAGGUGAAAUUCGUAGAUAUUCGGAGGAACACCAGUGGCGAAGGCGGCUCACUGGCUCGAUACUGACGCUGAGGUGCGAAAGCGUGGGGAGCAAACAGGAUUAGAAACCCGAGUGGUCCCA